ACCUGACAGAACUGUCGGCUGUCAUUUUGUUUAUUUUGUAAAGUGUUCGAUUUUUUUCAUUAAACUUCAAGAUGAGCACUCAACACGCUGCGCCUUGGUCCCCUUUAUAUGACGACCGUUACAAAGUGAGACUUUGAUGAGGCUCUUCCUAUUUCCUCUGAGUCAGAAUCUAUGAAUAGUGUCAAAAUUACACUUCUUCUUUUGCUUGUCACAAACUGGGUGAGGUCUUCUGAGUUUCAGGAACAGCUGUCUCUCAUACUUUCCUUACACUGGUUUUGUUUAUGCCAUAAAACAUUGCCAGAUUUUGGAAAUUCAGCUCUGAAAAGAAAAUAGAGGACUUUGACGAAGUACCGAAGUUAAUUUGAUAAACUGAGACCCUGCGUUGUAAAGAGACAUGGAGGCUGUUUUAGGACUGUUGGUGAUCUCAGCAGGAGUGUCUCAUGGCUUGGAGACUUCCUGUGAUGCUAGACAGAAUGUAUCUCAGUGUUAUGGAGCUCUGGGAGGAACUGUCUAUCUCCAGCUGGUGACUGAUGACAUGGGAUAUGAUGAACUCUCAUUUUAUAAAGACCCAACUGGUGCUAAAACAGAGAUACUCAGAUCGAAGAAGGGCAUAUGGGUAAUAAGAGACAACCGCAUUAAAGACAGAGUAGACUUCUUUAUAAACAAUGGGACAUUUAGGUUAAAUAACACAAGAAGUACAGAUUCUGGUGAAUAUCUGCUAGAAUACUUUAAUUCAGUAGGGAUAUCAUCAUGGACCAGAGGACUACAACUGUUCAUCGAAGCUCCAGUGUCCAGUCCUCAGCUGUCCUCUGAGUGUCUGUCCCAUGGAGAGAUGAAGGUGUCCUGUUCCUCUGAGGGGGAUGGUCCCCAGUACAGCUGGACUCUGGAUGGACAGACACUGAGAGACACUGAGACCUCUCCUGGUGAUGAGACAAACACCAUCACUCUGAAGAAAGGCCUGUCAGGAAAUCUCACCUGUACCAUCAGAAACAACAUCAGCAGUGAUACUGUCAGCAGGAUAAUCUCACACUGUCCAGGGCUGAUAUAUGUUAACUGCACCUUAUCCAACGGGACAAAAGUAUCAGAGUGGGUGAAUGCCACUGGUAAUACCCUGUGUGUUGAGUCUACAACAGUGGCGACUGUGACUGAGUCCCCCAUCAGUAAAACCUCCACUGGUAUGGAGGAGAAAUCCUGUGAUGCUAGAGAGCACAUGUCAUGUCACGGAGCUCUGGGAGAAACUGUCUAUCUUCAGCUGAUGAAUAAUGCCACAGGGUCUGAACUCGUAUUCAAAAAGGACCCCACUGGUGCAAAUAUAAGGAUAUUCAGCAUGAAAAACAACAGAGUGAGAUUCCAUGACCCCAUUAAACCUAGAUCAGAGUUCUUUAUCAACAACGGGACAUUUAGGAUAUCUAACACAGAAAAGACUGAUUCUGGUGAAUAUGUCUUAGAAAUCUAUGAUUCACAUGGAGCACGUUUGAGCACCGGAGGAGUACAACUUAUAAUUGGAGGAUCUGGGUUCAAUGUGUUUGUUUAUUUCCAACUUGCUGAAGUCUUCAUUCUGAUGGCAAUCUGUCUGGGAUCAUACUGUUUCUACAAGAAGAAAACCUGUCCUCAAGAACAAGAUGAUGGUCAGUAAGCAGAGGAAUAUGAAGACUCUCAGGUGGAUCAUGGUGGGACUCAGAGGAGGGUGUUGAUGUCCUAAGAGUUGCUAUGGGGAUCAACCAGGCUUUGAGAUUACUUUAUGAAAUAAUGACUAACGAUGAUAUAAUACUGCUUAUCACUCUUUUAAUCUUGAAACUCAAAGCACAGUAAUCUAUUUAAACCAAAAAAAUGCCAUUCUAUUCUUUUGACUUUUAUUUUCUUAUUUUAAUUAUGUUCCUUCAGACCUGCCCUUAACAACAUGAAUAGUGAAUGAUCUAUGUGAUGAUGUUUAUUUGAUGAAUUUUAAAUCUUGAAUUGUAGUGAUUUAGUGCUUUUUAUUUUGUUCAUACUGUUAAAUAAACUAAUGAAAAAGUUGUUUUUGAAAAUACAUUUUCUUUCAUAUUCUAAUGCUACCUUCUUAAACACAAACAAAUGAUUAUUUUACCAAUAUCAUACAUGACAUGUAUUUAUUAGACUGUUAGAAUGUUGACAUCUGAAAGACUCAUCAUUGGCUUGAAGGGGGUCCCUCUAGGCUUUUCUAGUGUUAAGUAUAUUUAAAAUGUUAAAGGCGUGCAUAUUACAGUGUAUUGAUUGCAUGGCAGGGUUUCGUUUUUUAUUGCUUGUGAUAUACAGUAACAGAAAUGUAUGAGAGUUGAAAGUCUUUUUAAAUAGGGAACUCUAACAGACUUUCAUUCCUUCUGUAACUUUAUCAAAUCAAAAACUUUAUUUGUCACAUGCGCCAAUGUCACAGGUUCCAACGAGUGGCGCCCCUCGGUCGGGCAGCGGUCGUCGUCGCCGGCCUAUUAGCUGCCACCGAUCGUUGUUUCUGUGUCGUUUAGUUUUGUCUGUCUGUUCCGCACCUGUUUUGUGUAUGUCAUUAGUGGGGACUUAUUUAAUGUGUUUUCAGUUGGGAUUUUGUGCGGGAUUGUUUAUUGUCCACGUUGUGUUAGCGUCAAUUAUACGGGAAGGAUUUACCGGGCUGCGCUCCUUGCCUUUGAAUUAUAUUUUGUGUUUUAUGGGAAGGUGUUUCUCCCAGGCGCACUUUGUAUAGCGCCCUGUGCUUUUCGGCGUUUGUGUGUGUCCGUUUUUAUUAAAAGACACUCACCUCCAGCACCUCUGUCUCCUGCAUUUGAUUCCGCCUAUCCGCCAGUCCAAAUCAGACGUGACAGCCAAAUACAACAAGUGUAGACCUAACCGUGAAAUGCUUACUUUACAAGCCCUUAACCAACAGCGCAGUUCAAGAAGAGUUAAGAAAAUAUUUACCAAAUAAACUCAAGUAAAAAAUUAUAAAAAGUAACACAAUAAAAUAACAAUAACAAAGCUAUAUACAAGAGGUACCGGUACCGAGUCAGUGUGCGGGGGUACAGGUUCGUUGAGGUAAUUUGUACAUGUAGGUAGGGGUGAAGUGACUAUGCAUGAUAAUAAACAGUGAGUAGCAGCAGUGUACAAAACAAAUGGAGGGGGAGGGGGGGGGGGGUCAAUGUAAAUAGUCUGGUGAACAUUUGAUUAAUUGCUCAGCAGUCUUAUGGCUUGGGGGUAGAAGCUGUUAAGGAACCUUUUUGUCCUAGACUUGGCAUUCCGGUACUGCUUGCCGUGCAGUAGUAGAGAAAACAGUCUAUGACUUGAGUGACUGGAGUCUCUGA
rnacentral:lncRNA from 1 species